rnacentral:misc_RNA from 1 species
CCAAUAGCGUAUAUUAAAGUUGUUGCAGUUAAAAAGCUCGUAGUUGAAUUUCGGGGUUUGUAAGUUGGUUGUGCCACUGGUAUGUACUGGCUUUACUGAUUCCUCCUUCUUGUAGAACCGUAAUGCCAUUAAGUUGGUGUUGCGGGGAAACAGGACUGUUACUUUGAAAAAAUUAGAGUGUUUAAAGCAAGCUAACGCUUGAAUACAUUAGCAUGGAAUAAUGAAAUAGGACGUUCGAUCCUAUUUUGUUGGUUUCUAGGAUUGACGUAAUGAUUAAUAGGGAUAGUUGGGGGCAUUAGUAUUCAAUUGUCAGAGGUGAAAUUCUUGGAUUUAUUGAAUACUAACUACUGCGAAAGCAUUUGCCAAGGAUGUUUUCAUUAAUCAAGAACGAAAGUUAGGGGAUCGAAGACGAUCAGAUACCGUCGUAGUCUUAACCAUAAACUAUGCCGACUAGGGAUCGGAUGAUGUUAAUUUUAUAAUGACUCAUUCGGCGCCUUACG